ACGCUGGCGGCAGGCCUAACACAUGCAAGUCGAGCGGUAACAGGAAUUAGCUUGCUAAUUUGCUGACGAGCGGCGGACGGGUGAGUAAUGCCUGGGAAUAUGCCUUAGUGUGGGGGAUAACUAUUGGAAACGAUAGCUAAUACCGCAUAACGUCUUCGGACCAAAGAGGGGGACCUUCGGGCCUCUCGCGCUAAGAUUAGCCCAGGUGGGAUUAGCUAGUUGGUGAGGUAAAGGCUCACCAAGGCAACGAUCCCUAGCUGGUCUGAGAGGAUGAUCAGCCACACUGGAACUGAGACACGGUCCAGACUCCUACGGGAGGCAGCAGUGGGGAAUAUUGCACAAUGGGGGAAACCCUGAUGCAGCCAUGCCGCGUGUAUGAAGAAGGCCUUCGGGUUGUAAAGUACUUUCAGUCGUGAGGAAGGGUAUGUAGUUAAUAGCUGCRUSCCUUGACGUUAGCGACAGAAGAAGCACCGGCUAACUCCGUGCCAGCAGCCGCGGUAAUACGGAGGGUGCGAGCGUUAAUCGGAAUUACUGGGCGUAAAGCGCAUGCAGGCGGUCUGUUAAGCAAGAUGUGAAAGCCCGGGGCUCAACCUCGGAACCGCAUUUUGAACUGGCAGACUAGAGUCUUGUAGAGGGGGGUAGAAUUUCAGGUGUAGCGGUGAAAUGCGUAGAGAUCUGAAGGAAUACCGGUGGCGAAGGCGGCCCCCUGGACA
rnacentral:rRNA from 1 species